GACGCGGCUUGCCUGCGGCCGCUGCGUGCGACCAUCCGUGCGGCGUGUCCAUCGCACGGCCCUGGCUCCACGGACGCCCCGCUCCACGCACGCAACGAUUGAUCCUGAUUUUAAGUGAAAAAAAAAACAAAAUACACAUCGUAAUACUGAUUCCCUUCUUCAGCACCCGCCAAAAGAACCACCGAAUACACAAAAGGGCGCCAAAAUGCAAGAUCUACAUCUCAUAUGAGGCGGAAGUGACCUUACAGCCUUAAAGCGCACAAUUAUCAAUAGUGGCUUAACCAGGAAUCAGGAAACUCUUCUCUUCAAUUGAGCAGCAAAGGAAUCCGCGUCUCUGAUGGUUUCUCCGAGUCUUGCAUCCCUGACGACUUCUCCGAGGAGUGUUCCAGGGAACCAGGACACUGACGAACAAUCUCAUGCACCAAAAGUAAGAAAUCUCAUUCGGUUCUGACGAUGAAUCUGCGGCAAAUUCUCUUAUUUCUUUGUUUUGAACCAUUCCGGGAGACUUCACAUCCAGCAGUGCACACAAAUAUGUUUGCCUAAAAGAUCCACUUUCCAUCAACUGUGACACGAUCCAGAGUGUUGGCCGGGAAAAAGCAGUGUGCUGCACCCUUGUAGAACUUCUACAGGAAUCUGUGACCGCAUUCUGCAAAAGCCAAACAACAAUGGAAAGUUAGUUUUUUUUUAAUUUAGAAAAACAAAGCAGUGUCAUGUACAGUAGCCAAUUUCAGACGUUCUUGUACCAUCUCUGAUUUCAGGUUUUGGAAAACAUGCACUACAGUUUUUUCUAUUCCUUUUACAAUACAUAUAGUUCAUGGACAAACAUAAGAGAUAGUUGAAUAUACUUGCAAAAACCGUGUACAGAUAUGAAAUAUAAACAGAACAAGGAUUCUAGAGUGCAUCACGAUUUCUUCUCUAAAACUUAAGACUCCUGAUGUCUCAAUGCACUCCAUGUUUCUUAAGACAAAUACGAUUGCAAGAGAUAUAAAUAUGAUUUAUGAUGCAGUUCAUAAAAACUCAUGAUAGGCAAAUAUGAUUGCUAUAUGUGUGUAUUAACUAAAUUGAAUCCUAACUGAUAUAGGAUCAAGAAACUACAGUAGAUCACACCGAUGAAAGGGUACCAAAGCUUGGCAUGAAAUUUUUAUCUGAAGAGGAAGCUUAUUUAUUUUAUAACAAGUAUGCUAAAACCAUCGGUUUUAGCAUCAGAAGAAGCAGUGGUCAUAAAGUGAUGAACUCUUCUACAUUUCAGCAACGGACAUUUACAUGCUCUCGUCAAGGUGUGGGUUAUUUUCAUUUUUUUUAAUUAUAAUCAUUUAUUUAUGCUCUAAGACAAUUACAACAACUUAUAGGCCAUCGCCAGGAAGAUAAAAGAGAGGAGACAUUCACUUACAGUAGGCCUGAAACACGAUGUGGUUGUGAUGCCCGUAUGAAGAUUAGCCUUAGAGAUGGAUUUUAUUAUGUGUAUGAAUUCGAGGCGUCACAUAACCACACUCUUGCUAAUGGACUCAUGGCCCAAUACUUGAGAUCCCAGAGAAAAGUGACAGAAGCACAGAUAGCAAACGCAGAGGUUGCAAAGUCAGUUGGCAUUUCAAAUAAAGCAACAAUCGAUUUGAUGGCUAAAGAAGCAGGUGGAAGUGAAAACCUUGGCUUUACACCUCCAGAUAUGAAAAAUUGUUUGUACUCAAAGAGAACAAUAAAAGCAAAGGUAGGUGACACAGGGGGGGUAUUAGAAUACAUGGAGAAAAAGGUCUCAGAAGAUGUCAACUUCUUCUAUUCAAUUCAAGUGGAUGAGGAUGAGUUGAUAACUAAUAUUUUUUGGGCCGACUCCAAAAUGGUUUCAGACUAUGCAAUGUUCGGCGAUGUUAUAUGCUUUGACACCACAUACAGAAAACUAGAUGAUGGACGUCCAUUUGGUUUGAUUGUCGGGGUGAAUAAUCAUAAGAAAACUAUUGUCUUUGGUGCUCCACUUCUAUAUGAUGAAACCGCUGCUAGUUUUGCUUGGCUUUUCAGAACUUUCCUAAAAGUUAUGUCAGGAAAACAUCCACGUACAAUUCUCACCGAUGAAGAUGCGGCAAUGGCGAAGGCAAUUCGUGAAGUCUUUCCUCACUCUCACCAUAGACUUUGUGUGUGGCAUAUGAAUCAAAAUGCUUGCAAGCACCUCGCCGGAGUUGUUGACGAAUAUAAGAAGUUCAAUGUUGAUUUUCAGCACUGUAUAUAUGAUAUAGAAGAGGAGGAUGAAUUUGUAGGUGCAUGGGAUAAAAUGAUUGACAAGUAUGGACUGCGUGACAAUGAAU
rnacentral:lncRNA from 1 species